CUCUACUGUGAAUAUACAUAGGAAAAUGUCCUCACUAUGACCCAUCAUGGGUGGACUAGGAAAUCAUCAUGUUUAAUAUGAAGAUUGGAGUCUAUAGAUAUAGCCACAAUGGAAGCUAUAGGUUCUUCACCGUGAGAACAAGAUAAGGUUCCUGGAGGUAAAGCCCAGAAAAGAGUGGCCCCUCCCUGAGACUGAGGCCCACAGGAGGUUUUCAUUCACAUCCUAGACUACCCUCAGCUUCCAGUAAUUCUUCAAGAUUACCACUUGAAUAUUCCUACCUGUUUGUGACACCCGCAGCCUUUAAUCCAAGGAAGAUCUCAGCUGUGACUCCCUAGACACUCCACAUUUCCAGGAGGCAGGUUGCCCUCUGUUCCAUGACGUAUCCUAAAAAAAAACAUCGAUUUUUAGUUUGUCCAGCUUUUUGUUGUUGUUGCUGUUGUUCUAAGGAGUUUUUGUUGUUGUUGUUGUUUUUCUUUACUUACUCUAUAUUUGAAUUUAUAUUAUUUUCUUUUUUUGCAUUUUGAUGAUUUUUUUUCUGGUUUUGUCAAAUUUCUAUUGAUUCUAUAUUUCGCAUUGACAACUUUGUAAAUGUAGAAUGCUUCUCCAUUACAUUAACCCAUUAACUUUUUAAACCUGGAAAUGAUAAAUUUGCUUUAUAAAUAUUUAUUUACUGUUCACGUUUCUGCCUGGCAUGGGACUAAGACAAAGACUGAAAUAGACAAAGUCCUUAACACAAUACAGUUUAUAUUCUAAUUAUUCUAAUACAAAAACCAACACUAACAAAGAUGCACAUAAAUAUAUGAUAAAAUGUCAAGAAAUAAGUGCUAUGGAAAAUAACAGUAAAUCAGUUAAUGGGUUGGAAAUUGAUAAGGUUGCCCAAUUAGUCAAUAUGUUUUUGAAAACUCUCUCUGAGGAGGGUGCAUAAUUCUGAUAAUAAAACUCAUAUUUUUCUUGUUUAACAUAAUACUAAGUAUUUUUCCACACAAAUAUGCUCUGAUGCCAUCAUUUCCCAUUACUCACCCUAUAUGAUACCUUUAAAAUGCUUGUUUUCUCUAUCUUACUAUUUUUCUGUCAGUGUCUACAUAGAUUUUUACUUAGUCUAUUGUUAAAAUUUCCCUUAUA
rnacentral:lncRNA from 10 species